AGGAAAGCGGCAUUUAAGCCGCCUGGUGGAUGGCUCGGCUCGGGCGCCGAAGAAGGGCGCGGCAAGCGGCGAUAUGCCCGGGUGAGGCGCAUGCAGCCGUAGAACCCGGGAUUCCCGAAUGGGAACUCCUACUGCAGGUUAAUAGCCUGCAGUGCCCGGAUAACCGGGCGGGAACCCCCCGAACGGAAACAUCUUAGUAGGGGGAGGAGGAGAAACCAAACGGGAUUCCCUGAGUAGGGGCGACCGAAAGGGGAAGAGGUCAAACCAAAUCCCUCUAUGAUAAGUAGAGGGAGAUGUGGUGUUGAGAGCUUCUGGCUGGUUAAAAGCCAGAAAGCCGAGCCUCGGUAGCUGAAGUGGGCUGGAAUGCCCUACCGCAGAGGGUGAUAGUCCCGUAAGCAAAACCGAGGUGGCUUUCGCCAGAAGCUAGAGUACUACGGCCCGGUUUGGCCGUAGGAAGCAGGGAGCCACCAGCUUCCAAACCUAAAUACGUCCCGAGACCGAUAGCGGACAAGUACCGCGAGGGAAAGCUGAAAAGGACCCCGAGAGGGGUGUGAAAAGAGCCUGAAACCAGGCGGUUACACCGGAUGCAGCCCGAAAGAAAUGAACUUCUCCAAAGGAAAACGGAGUGAUCCGUGAGUACGAGGAGAAGCGAUCGGGGUUGCAUCUUCCGUCUUGAAACACGGGCCGGGGAGUUCACGGUUGUGGCGAGCUUAAGGGGCUAACCCCCGAAGGCUCAGGGAAACCGACAAGUCCGCAACCGGUUCUCCGGUGAGGGACGGGGUCCCAAAGGGCCUGGAGUCACAGCCGUGAAACCCGAAACCGGGUGAUCUAGGCGGGGGCAGAGCGAAGCCGAGGGAAACCUCGGUGGAGGCUCGAAAGGGUUCUGACGUGCAAUUCGUUCCCCUGACCCCCGUCUAGGGGCAAAAGACCAAUCUAACCCGGUGAUAGCUGGUUCCCGCCGAAGUGGGUCUCAGCCCAGCCUCGCUGGAGGUAGGCCAUGGGGUAGAGUUACUGAUUGGAAGUGCAGUAGCCGAAAGGCUACGACUUCCAGUCAAACUCCGAACCUGUGGCCGCCGAAGAAGGUGGGAGUGGGGUUUCCCAGGGGUAAGCCUGGGAGCCGAGAGGGGAACAACUCAGACCGAGGUUAAGGCCCCAAAGUGCUGGCUAAGUGCCAUCUAAAGGGCGUCCUCAGCCUAAGACAGCGGGGAGGUUGGCCCAGCAGCAGCCAUCCUCUAAGGAGUGCGUAACAGCUCACCCGCCGAGGCUGAGGGCCCCGAAGAUUGGUCGGGGCUAAGCCAGCCGCCGAUACCUCGGGGCACCUCUGCAUUGCAGAGGUGAUCCGGUAGGCGGGCGUCGGGGUGGGGCAGAAGUCGGGCCGUGAGGUCCGAUGGACCCGCUCCGAGUGCGGAUCCCGGUGGUAGUAACAGCGAAGAGGGGUGGGAAUCCCCUCCGCCAGAAAGGGCCAGGGUUCCUCGGCAACGGUCGUCGGCCGAGGGUCAGCCGGUCCUAAGCGAGCCCGUAACACGGCGCUCGCAAAAGGGAAACAGGUUAAUAUUCCUGUGCCGUGGAGGUAGGCAUCGCGGCAACGCAAAGCUCAGCUCCUGACGUUUCGGGGUAGGCUGACAGGGGUAGCCGCCCCUGCUAACCUGCCGAAUACCGGGAAGUACCGUCAAGGUGAGAACCGGUAGAAGGGGGGAAUGGCCUGCCUAGUGCAGGUUCAGCCGAUCCCUGGAACCCAUGAAAAGGGAGCUGAGAACGAUCCUCCACGCCCGUACCGAGAACCGACACAGGUGCCCCAGGGUGAGAAGCCCAAGGCGUCUGGGGGUCAGCGCAGGCCAGGGAACUCGGCAAAUUAGCCCCGUACCUUCGGAAGAAGGGGUGCCUGUGGACCUGGGCAGAAACCUGGGUCCAUAGGUCGCAGUGCCUAGAGGGACCUGACUGUUUAAUAAAAACAUAGCUCACCGCUAGCCUGUAAAGGUUUGUACGGUGGGUGAAUCCUGGCCACUGGCGGUCCGUGAACCCCGGGUCCAACCGGGCGAAGCGCCGCUGAAGGCCGGGAGUAACUCUGACUCUCUUAACGGGAGUAUCUCGCCUAGGAAAACAUAAAAAUUCAAAAAGAUAUUAAGUAUGAAAUAGAGCUUAUUAAAAAAACCUUAAAAAAAUCGCAAUUAUUGAUUCAUACUUAACUGAAAGGCGGGAGCUCCCGGGAGAAAGGUAGCCAAAUGCCUUGCCGGGUAAGUUCCGGCGCGCAUGAACGGAUCAACGAGGUCCCUACUGUCCCGGCCUGCGCCCCCGUGAAUCUAUAAGCUGGUUCACAGUCCAGCAACCUCCCGUAGGGAGAGAAGACCCCGUGGAGCUUUACUGCAGCCAGAUGUUGUCCUAUGGGAGUGGGAACGUAGCGUAGGUGGGAGGCGUCGAUCCUACCCUUUCGGGGGUAGGGGAGCCGAUCCUGAAACACCACCUUCUCGCUCCCGUAGGACUUACCCUGGGUAUCCAGGGGACAGCACCUGGUGGGCAGUUCGGCUGGGGCGGCACGCGCGCGAAAAGAUAACACGCGUGCCCAAAGGUCGGCUCAAGCGGGUCAGAAACCCGCUGUAGAGUGCAAGGGCAAAAGCCGGCCUGACCGAACCCCGGAUAACAACGGGUUCGGACGGGAAACCGAGGCCUAGCGAACGCUCGUGCCCCCACUGGUGGGGGCCGGGCAUGACAGAAAAGUUACCCCGGGGAUAACGGAGUCGUCGCGGGCGAGAGCUCCCAUCGACCCCGCGGUUUGCUGCUUCGAUGUCGGCUCUUCCCAUCCUAGAGGUGCAGCAGCCUCUAAGGGUGGGGCUGCCCGCCCAUUAAAGGGGAUCGUGAGCUGGGUUUAAACCGUCGUGAGACAGGUUGGACUCUACCCACGGGAGGCGUUGGCCGUCUGAGGGGAAGAUGCCCACAGUACGAGAGGAACUGGGCAUCGCGGCCUCUAGUCUACCGGUUGUCCGGCAGGGCAAUGCCGGGCAGCCACGCCGUUAGGGAUAACCGCUGAAAGCAUCUAAGCGGGAAGCCCGCCCCGAGACGAGACGGCCAUUCCGUGCGGGGAAACUCGCACGGAUGGAGGGCCCCCGUAGAAGACGGGCUUGAUAGGACGGGGGUGUAAGCUCCGAGGGACUUGUUCCCGAGGAGUGAGCCUGCCGUUACUAAAAGCCCGACGCCGCUUGCUU
rnacentral:rRNA from 1 species